CUCGCUGAGUGAGGUGUUACCUGGACAAGUUUUGCUCGUCACCCCUUCCUCACGAAGCAGACCCCAUCGUGCAUAGCUAGGGUUGGGGCCGCCGCCGCCUCCCUAUCAGCCCAUUCAAGCUCCUCCGGGCUGGCCACUGGACAAGGCAUUCUCAGAUCCGCUUCUCCCCCAAACCUUCUGGUCUUCACGUUCCACCAUGCCGCCAUGAUGGUUGCAGAGGAGGGGAGGAAGGGGAUGGCAUCAAGGUUCUGACGGAGGCCCUAGCUCAAGGCGGCGAGUUGCAGAGUGAGGCCAACCAGCUUGUGAAGGGGGUCAAUCUAUUAGUUGCUACGCCGGGCAGGCUUCUGGACCAUCUGAAAAGUACCGGUGGUUUGAACUACAAAGGGCUAAAGUGCCUUAUAAUUGAUGAAGUUGACCACAUACUUGAGCAAAAUUUCAAGGAGGACAUGAAACAAAUAUUUAAACGCCUCCCUCAGAAUAGGUAAACUGUUCUCUUUUCUGCCACAGACUCAAAAGGUUGAAGAUAUUGCAAAUUUUACGUUUGGGAAAAAGAAAGGAGGACACCGAAAACUUGUUUAUGUUGGAGUAGAUGACUUGACUCUGAAUUAAAGGCCAAUAUAGAUUGUUCUUGCCUGCAAAAUCAGGUUACAUCUAGGGAGUGCGCCGCCAGACAGAGCGCCGUGUCCAUCUAGGAUGAGUGCCUUAGAGCAGUCAAUUCACAAGUAUGCAGAGGAAUCAAUGAAAAGUAUUCUUCAGUCUGAACAAGGACUUAGUUUGGACUCUCUUGGUGUGGCGUAUGACUUCUACAAUUCGUACUCAUGGGAGAUUGGGUUCAGGAUAAGGUAUGACAAAAGCAGAUUGAACACCAAGAGGACCAAAUCAAUGCAGGAGAUUGUUUGCGGUUGCUCGGUGCAUACAUAAAUCCGUUUAAGUACUUGUGUGAAAAAUUAAAAAUAGUUGAAUGUACUGUUUCUUGGCUACGAAGAGAAGAGGACAAUGAUUGGUGUUGUUGUGAUUGUGAGAACCAAUCUCUCAAUAGAGCAUCAGGCUAGCAAAUGGGUCAGAGUUCGAGUGUGAGUGCGGGCAAUUGAAGCACAUGGGCAUGUUGAGUUGUCAUGUCCUAAGGGUGAUGGAUGUACUUCACCUUGAGGAGAUUCCUGCAAAACACAUCGUGAAGGGGUGGAUGAAGGAUGCGACCAGAAAGACCAAUCGGUUAAUAAGUCUUUUACAUGCAGGCAUUCGACUCUUUACUUGCAAUCUAUGAACGUUGUUCGGAUGGGCGACGCGACCGUGGAAGCGUGAAGGAUGGUCAGCUGGGCUGAAGGCAUUGUUGGUCAGCGGAGCGCCAUUCGUUGAGAAGAGGGAUGGUUUGCUUUGAGGACCGCCAGGGAAAUAUGCUAGCAGGAGGACUGCUUGGUAAUGGAGAAGUUGCAUUCAUGGCAAAUGGGGUUGCAGACCAUGAAUGCAGUGCAGGCCUGCCUGUGAGUGUCAAUGCGCUUGGAGGGUUAGCUUGGAUAGAGAAGCAGAGAGGGGUCGGCAGGCCAAGGAACAGCCGGGAGAAAGCACUGUACGAGGGACUGAGACGAGGUUCGGCAGUAUAUGUCGCCGUGAACGUCACAAGAGAACGACUUUGCCCUGACCGGGAAAUCCAGGAAGAUGCAAGAACUGUGGACUGGAAGGACAGCGCCGGAACACGUGCACGCCCACUUGGUGGUCCAGAGAAUCAAAUGUGACAACUAGAUUUUAUUUUCUGUAUGUUGUAUUAUGAAGAUUUUCUGGUGUUUCAUUGAGCUUUGUUCCACGCUUGUUCCUCCAGUUCGGGAUGUGAGAAACUGUAACAUUGAGGACGUGUUUGUUGUCUGCAUACACUAUUGGGUCUGCAUCGCACGCUUUUUAAGAAAAAGGCGAAGGUCCGCAGUUUCUCUGGA